UGUGGCAGUUCCCUGCUUAGAGAGAAGCUGGAAUUCGUUGGCACUGGAGCACAUUGUCCCAGGAAGCGCCUACUCCCUGCCAGGACUAUUUGGUACCCGAAGCCGAGCACACAGAUCAUCCUGGGAGGACAAAGAGCCAAAAGACAGCUGGUUUCCAAAGGAACGUUUUUCCCAUUCCACAGAUCCGUACCAGUCAGUGGGACUGACCAGGCUGGUUCCUGUCACUUCCUGCCCCAGCAGUCAGCUGUCUUGCCCCACACUUGUCAUGUGGGCACAGGGAUACCACACUUGCAAGGGCUUCUCCAAAGGUUUUUCUGCCAGGAGUGCUCCAGGCUUUCAGAAGGUAACUUUCCAGCCCAGAACAGAAACAUGGACCUGAUGCCGUCGUUUCCUGAGCACUGUAAGGUGUCCUGCACCUCUUGCC